AUAUCCAUUCUGGAUGGAUGGCUUGGUUUAGACGCGCUGCGUGCAGUAAGUGAGACUUCUGACCUUGUACCGUCCAUCGCGUGUCUUCGUCAAAGGACUUACACGCGUUGCUAACAGGCUAACGCUACUGAACGAUAGUUAGCGCAUCAUGGCUAAGCAUUAGCUAGCAAACUUUCGCCUGCUAGCGUAUCGGCAAAUGGCCACACUGUUUUAGUAACUUGAUAGACUUUUGUUCGUACACGCAUUUGUGCCUGUGUACGUUUCAACAUCGUGUUACUUAGAUUUACUGCGAGAUCUCUUACAUCUCCCGCCUCCUCAUCGCCUAUAUCUUAUCAGGACACUUUCAUCUGUUUCCCAAGCCUGUCGGAGCCCAUCUGCUGUUGUUCCUCUGGACAUCUCUGCACUUAUCAGCACCAAAGCUUUAACAUGCUUGUUUUGCGCUUCAGUAUUUCAACAGUUGCUAUUUUAAGUGCCUCCUUUCUCUGUAUGUAUUAAAGUGAUAAAUGUGUUUCAACUGUCAAAUCAGCCCCUCACCCUCUCUCCAGGGAUGUUUUCAGCUGUUUAGUCAGAAACGAUGAAAGCAGACACCAUUUCUCCUCAUUGAAUAAAAUGUUUUAGCUAGUUUUUAUGAGUCAACGAUUUGCAUAAUCUGUCACAGGAGGGCAACACCUUCAGUCCACAACUGAACAACUGUAUUGUGCGUACACACUGUAGUACAA